rnacentral:rRNA from 1 species
AUGUGGAAUAUAGCAUAUAGUCGACAAGAGAAAUCUACGAAAAAACAAACAAAACUUUCAACAACGGAUCUCUUGGUUCUCGCAUCGAUGAAGAGCGCAGCGAAAUGCGAUACCUAGUGUGAAUUGCAGCCAUCGUGAAUCAUCGAGUUCUUGAACGCACAUUGCGCCCCUCGGCAUUCCGGGGGGCAUGCCUGUUUGAGCGUCGUU